UUCCGGCGCAGGGCGAAGGCGGAGGAACGGCCCGGGGAGCGUCUGCCAAGCGCCGCCGCUCCGCAAAGCGCAGAACGGAGCGCUGCUUUCCCCGGGUAGGCGCUAGGGAGCGUCUACCAAGUGCCGCGGAGCGGAGCGGGGCGGAGCGCACCCCCUCUCCGGGUCUAAGGGCAGGAGCCCGGAGCGGCGCCUAGGGAGCGUCUGCAAAGUUCCUGUCCCCCGAGAAGAGGGGGGGACGCCGGUCCCGCCAAACGCCGUCUGCUCCAGUAGAGCUAGGCAGUCAGUUGGAGACCAAGGCCGACGCUGCCUCCCGGGGAGGCCGCGGGGAACCGGGUGGAUGCAAGGUGGUUUGUGCCCGCCUGCCCUGGGCUAACAGGGCCUGGCAGGGCAGAGCCGAAACGCUGACUGAGGUAACCCUGCCGCCAUGUCUGGGGUGGCGCUGGGGGCGAGGCUGUCGCCGUGUCUCCGGCCGCGCCGCAGGUGCAAUCGUCUUUGCUCAGGAUGCAACUGCAAGUUUGCCGGUCGUUCAUGGACACAUCGGCUCACACUGUGUGAACAGAGGCCCCUGCUCAUCCCUGGGGACGUGUAGGCACAGGAACGGGGACAGGGACAGUGGACAGCCCAAACUCAAACCCCAUUUCUCUGGCCAGUACGGAUGUGACUGGCUCAAUUCCUCUAGUGCAACGAGCUCAGUCAGUACCCAGCAACGAUUGUGGAGGUGUCAUCUUUGCAAGUCUACUCCUGAUGACAGAAGUCUCAUUAUUUUCCCGCUGUCUCUCAUAAAUAGAAGAACAACAAACUCUCAGGCAGUCCUUCUGGGGAGAUGAAACCUUUGAAGUCAUCAGCAACACAGGCAGUAGAUAACCUUGCACUGAACGAACAACUUAUUUUUUGCUGCUAGCAGGCACAGUAGGUUGCGAAAACAGAGGACUGUUUCCCAUGAGUUUUCAAGUUCACAUAAUAGCUUUCUGUGGACAUUUGAAAGACCUUUGCAAAACCCCUCACUUCAUGGUGUCUCGAAACUCAAAUCUUCUGUUUAGAGAAGAGCCUCUUUAUUUUUAAUACCUGGGGAGCGAAAAAGAGCAGAGAUGCUCAAAUCAGGCAGUGGUGGUGGUGGACAUCUGCCAGGAGAGGGAUGGGGACACCGGAUCCGGCUGGGUGUCCCAUCAGGUCCAGUAGCCCUCGCCGCAGGAGCCAUGUGGGGCUGUGCAGGAUCCUGGAUGGGCAGCAGGCACCCAGAGGUGACAGAUUUGUGAACCGAGUGCCCAAGAGGCACAACCCCUCCGUGGAUAACACCCCUGGGCAGCUCAUGGCCUCGCUCGCUGCCGUUUAUGCAUGCUGGAGAUACUGCGGCUACACCCACGCGUCAGAAAUGUCACACUGAGAUGAGCAGAGUCUAGACAACUGGUGGAAGAACCACAUUUGUGGAAUGAUAACGCAGAUCCACAAGUUUAUUUCCCCUUCACUGCGGGAGAAAAUUAAGCUUGAGGGGAGCGCGAAGUCCCUGCAGGUAAGGAGGAUGGAGAAGUUAAGAAGCCUGAGGCUGACUCAACAAAAAAACAGUGAAUCAAAAUUCCCAGUGGUGCAGCUUGUGAGGAGCAAACGGUCCUACUCAGGCAGAGGGAGCAGAGAGGCAGCUCAGAGCCCUGGGGGACGUAUUAGCUUUGUGGACCUUCACGGCAGGGAGGGUGUUUCUUCUCCAGGGGCAGGCAGGGAGGCAGGCCUUAAACCAGCAUUUCCCUUCCAAAGGGCUCUGAAGGACUCACCUGCCCGAUGCCUGUUGAAUUUGAAAUGGCUUUGGCUGUCUGCCUGGCACAGACCCCUUUGGAGAUCCCACCGAAGGCAAGGCACGCACCCCGUUCCCUUCUUGGCUGCGCUUGCCCGCUGUUUUCACUGGCGGCUCAGGUGGAAGGGGGAGAUGGAGGCAGCAAGUUUUGGGGUGCAGGAAAAGCCAGCCAAUUCAGCUCAGACACAGGCUCCAGCAGCAAUAUGUCUUCCAGAUGGGAGAUGUUAUAGCAAUACAGGCAGAAGGCAGGACAGGAGAAAACUAAAUGCCAGCAACACAGGAUGAGCUGGAAAGAGGACGAAGACAAGGGCAUUUCUCUGGGCACUACUUCCUCUUCAGGUUGCAUCACUCCUUCUGCUAAACAGAGGACCAGAGCACAAAGUCUAGAGGCAGAAUCAAAUUUCCCAAAAGAAGGGGAGUUUGAUUUUUUUUUUUUAACUUUAGCUCUAUUUCUGCAGCCGUAGGAUUGGGAGUUAGGGCCAGGACUGUUGUCUGGUCACAGCUCUAGGGCCAGGGAGUUGUUCUCCACAGACAGGAUCUUUGCCCAAAUUCACACAUCACAGCAGCAAAGGGACCCAGCUCCCCCAUCCCGCUGCCUGCCUUGGGAUUAGGGCACAACCCACAGAGGUGGACCAUGGGCUGCCCUUUUUCCUGUCCUCUCCUGCUUUCACCUCCAGGUCACAAAGUCCCCAGGCAGUGACACAAACCCAGCCUUGCACCCGAUUCCCAGCCCUGCACUGGCCGCUCUGCCAGCCCAGCAAGCUGAGCUCUGGCCACACCGUGGCAGCAUUCAUUCGCAUUUUACGCCACGCUAGAUGCUCUGCUGGGGACCAGCAAACCUGAGACCUGGAUCUCAAAUUCUCCCAGUGCCUCUGAGGCCUUUUGCUCCUGGAUUUGGAGCUGGAGCUGCUUCAGGGAGUCAAAGCUGCAGAAGAUGGUCACAGCACGUGGGGACGUGGCCAGCCAAGCAGCGGGAAAGGGCAGGAGCUCCUGGCUGAGGGUGGAGAUAACUGCACAGCCUGGGGCCAAGGGGAACCAGCAAAGCUUGUACCAUGGACUGGGAGAGCAGCAAACCUCCUGCAGCUCUUUUUGUUCCACCUUUGGCUUAGGGCAGUUAAUGUUAGCUCUCUGAAAACAGCUCCUGGACAAAUCCUCUGCUGUCGCUGGCACAGGUGCUUUGCUCCAUACAAGCAUCAGUGCACUGUUCAGCAGAGGAGGGGCAGGAGGAAAGGAUCAGCAUCUACCAGCUCAAAACGUCAACCCUGCAUCCCUGCCUCCAGCAAGAGCUGCAGCCAUGCCCUGCUGCCCUCGUCCUGGCAGUGAGGGAGGACAAACCUUCUUCAGGGUGAGGAAGGGAGAAGGAGGAAGGACACACAAGGUCACGUAUGCUUUACCUUGCAGACAGCUUUUCUCUGUUAAAAGGACUGAUACCUUUCUGAGAUCGUGUUAACAAAUUGCUUUUGGGGCCGGAUUUUUGCAGCAGGGCUGAGGUGUGAGCGUGUCAGAGCCCAGAAUCCCGCAGCAUCUUUGCAGCCGAUCUCACGUCCCUUCUCGCAUGAGAUGUCCCGGCAGAGACAGCUCGUGCUGCUGGCAGGUAGCGCAGAGCCUACAGAGGGGACUGGCUUGCCACCAAGACACCACAUGUAUUUCUCUUGGCAGGCAGAUCGCUCCGUGCUGGCACUUUCUGCUCCCAAAGGUGUGGAAGUGGCUGGGGUCAGCUGUCCCAGGACUGCUCAUGAGUCUGCACUAAGGUGGAGCUGAUGCUCACCGGGCUUUCAAGAGUCCUCAGUCAGCACAUCCUCGCCAAGGACCAGGAGCCUCCGUAACCCUCCAAGUGCUGUCUUCCAAAGAGGCUUUGUUACCAGGAGGUGCCUCUUGCAGCUGGGGCUGGAGCCGCUUCUCUCCCAUCCACGUGGCUUUCCAGUCUCACCCGGGAGAGGGUUCACACGUUCACAGCAUGCAAAGCUCUGCAACGCAGCCAGUCCCUCAGUCUGUCCCACCAGAUUCAUGGCUGCAGAUCUCCUGUAAAGCCCUCCGGAGGACAGCCUGGCCAAGCAGCAGUCAUUGCCAUGAGUUUUUCCCUAGCAUACACAUUGGCUUGUGUGUUAGGUGCUUGCUCCUCUGUGGGAGGACUUUCAUGCCGGCAAAAGUGGGGAUUGAGCAAAAGGAGAGGCUCAUGGGGAACAGGGAGCAGAGAGGGAGGCAAAUACAGUGCAGAGUCAAUUUAGGAGUAAUCAUGACACAUGAAUCAGAGACAUUUCACCCUUCAGAUCAAAACAGACACAUUUGUACCAAGGCUGCUUGGGGAUGAACAAAGUUCAUAGGCAUGAGGGCAGUGCACAUCAACUGCCCCCAGCCUCGGGCAUAUGCCCAGGUCUGUACAAGUCCAAAGGAAAGCCAUGAAAAUGCAAGGAUUCAGCCAAGCCCCAAGCUGGGGAAAGGGCGAGCCUGGGGGAACAACCCCCAGCCCUGGUCAAGUGACAAGACCUAGCCAUUGCCCAGUCCCCUGCCAGCUCUGCUGUCCCCCAAAACACCAAAAAUGCAGAUGAUCACAAAGGUGGUGAUUUCAUGCAGCUGCAAAAUGCCCUCAUGAGAAGAGGGAGAUGUGUGAAGUUCUGUUAAGAGCCACUGCAGGUUAUAAAGCCAUCAUACUUCAGUGGGGAAAUCCAGGGAAAGGAAAGGGGGUGAAAAGAAAUGGCCACAGGACAAGAGCAGGAGAAAGAGAAAGAAAAGGAAAUAAAAAUCAUCAUCAUUAUCAUCAUCAGGACACAACAACAGGACGAGAGGCAGAGCGCUUUCCAUGGGCAGUUCCCCGUGGAAAAGGAGCCACCGUGUCCGUGAAAUACAAAACCCAGUGCCCUCCGGCUGGAGGGGGCAGCAGGUGCUGGGACUGGUUUGGCAUCCCCGUGGGGUGAAGGGUCCGGUUAGGAGGAGAAAACCCUGCAAGGGAAAGGGGAGAAAGGCCAGCCUUAGAGGGAGCAGAGAGGAGCAUCUGAGCACUCUGACUGAGGACUUUCCAAGCGAUCAUGUUGUAGAAAGGAAUUUACAGACCCCUUUGCAGCUGGGUGAGGUGGGCAGGUAGGUAACCCUUAUCCCUACCUAGAGGUGGGCAACUGAGGGGCUCUGUAGGCAGUGCAGACCCCAGAGUAUGUGCUGCGUUGGAGAAAAAUUCCUACCAAACCUCAGGGACGUCGUGAAAGCCACUCCAGGUCAGCCAGGCACUACACGGCACAGGAGUGCAGGGAAGGGAUUGUGCACCUGAGGCUGCUGAGCACCAGGACAAGGAGCAGGACCCAUGCAGCUGCCCAUCCUUUACCCUAAAUAAUCCCGCUCAGCCAGGGAAAAUCCCACCGUGACAGAGCUGAGCAAAUGGCAGGACACGGGAGAGCAGAAACAAACACAGCAAAUGUCAAGGUUUUUUUUACUUCUUGUGGUAGUUUUUACAGCAGUGGAAAGAAAAGUCUCUAGAUCUUCCCUAACUGGGUGUGCAGCAGCCUGGAGACCUCUCCCACUGGGAGUACUGGUUGCCUGCACCCCCGGAGCUGGCCAGGCCCCCCCGCAGCCGGCACUGGAGCUGGGGAGAGCCACCCCUCGCCUCGGGUCGCUGGCAGGGAGCAGAGGCAGGCGGUGGGCAGGACUCCUGUGCUCUGCAUCACCGUCUGGGUGGGACUGUCAGGUCUGAGCACCUUGGCACAAUGGGUGCAAUAACCUGGGAAGGCCGGGGAGGGAUUUGUCCUAACGAGGUGACACUAUUUCAGAGAGACUGCCAGGCAGCAACCUCUGCUUCCAGUGCAAAAAAUCAAAUGCCUUUUCUCAGCUUUUGUUAUGAAAAGGACCACGUGUGCCAAAGUUAAAGCUCCCUUUCCCACCCCGCAGCCCACGUGCUUGGGAGAUGAUUGCAGGGGUUAAAAUAAACAUGUCAACUCA